rnacentral:rRNA from 1 species
GAUGAACGCUGGCGGCGUGCCUAAUACAUGCAAGUCGAGCGAACAGACGAGGAGUUUGCUCCUCUGACGUUAGCGGCGGACGGGUGAGUAACACGUGGAUAACCUACCUAUAAGACUGGGAUAACUUCGGGAAACCGGAGCUAAUACCGGAUAAUAUAUUGAACCGCAUGGUUCAAUAGUGAAAGACGGUUUUGCUGUCACUUAUAGAUGGAUCCGCGCCGCAUUAGCUAGUUGGUAAGGUAACGGCUUACCAAGGCAACGAUGCGUAGCCGACCUGAGAGGGUGAUCGGCCACACUGGAACUGAGACACGGUCCAGACUCCUACGGGAGGCAGCAGUAGGGAAUCUUCCGCAAUGGGCGAAAGCCUGACGGAGCAACGCCGCGUGAGUGAUGAAGGUCUUCGGAUCGUAAAACUCGGUUAUUAGGGAAGAACAAAUGUGUAAGUAACUAUGCACGUCUUGACGGUACCUAAUCAGAAAGCCACGGCUAACUACGUG